CCAUCCUGCCCAGGCGCCCACCAGACAGGCCACAGCCGCACGCCACAGGGCGACCCUCUGGUCGGGUAGAUGGCUCAGCAGCUCCACGUCCCCCUGGGCGGCACGGCGGAUGAAGGCCCGGCAGUCGGCUUCCCGCACCUGGCUCAGGCUACAGAAAAAAUUAGCCGAGCGUGGUGGCGGGCGCCUGUAGUUCCAGCUACUCAGGAAGCUGAGGCAGGAGAAUGGCAUGAACCUGGGAGGCAGAGUUUGCAGUAAGCCGAGAUCGCAGCACUGAACUCCAGCCUGGGCGACAGAGCGAGACUUUGUCUCAAAGAAAAAAAAAAAUAAAUAAAUAAAUAAAUAAAAGAG
rnacentral:lncRNA from 1 species